UAGGGAAUCUUCCACAAUGGACGCAAGUCUGAUGGAGCAACGCCGCGUGAGUGAAGAAGGUUUUCGGACCGUAAAGCUCUGUUGUUGGUGAAGAAGGAUAGAGGUAGUAACUGGCCUUUAUUUGACGGUAAUCAACCAGAAAGUCACGGCUAACUACGUGCCAGCAGCCGCGGUAAAUACGUAGGUGGCAAGCGUUGUCCGGAUUUAUUGGGCGUAAAGCGAGCGCAGGCGGAAGAAUAAGUCUGAUGUGAAAGCCCUCGGCUUAACCGAGGAAUUGCAUCGGAAACUGUUUUCUUGAGUGCAGAAGAGGAGAGUAGAACUCCAUGUGUAGCGGUGGAAUGCGUAGAUAUAUGGAAGAAUACCAGUGGCGAAGGCGGCUCUCUGGUCUGCAACUGACGCUGAGGCUCGAAAGCAUGGGUAGCGAACAGGAUUAGAUACCCUGGUAGUCCAUGCCGUAAACGAUGAGUGCUAAGUGUUGGGAGGCUUCCGCCUCUCAGUGCUGCAGCUAACGCAUUAAGCACUCCGCCUGGGGGAGUACGACCGCAAGGUUGAAAC
rnacentral:rRNA from 1 species